rnacentral:lncRNA from 1 species
GCCAUGUACUUUUCUCUAAUUGCUUAUACAUACCUGCUGCACUUGCAAUUGCAAUUGUUUCCAGCACUCAAAGCAUUUUCUGUUAGCUGUAUGGUCAUUGGUUUGGCUUCCUUUUUCUCUACCAUGUAGACAGCGGAAGAACCUUUCCUCAAUCCAUUCAAGAAAUCGAUUACAUUCUACAUUGUUUGUUGGAAUGAAGAAUAUCCACCUGCCAUCUGUAAUCUCAGUCCAAACCAUGGGAUAGC